UCGACACUUUUAUCUGAAGAGAUCAGGUUGCAGGCGAGUACCGAAGAAAGCAGUGCAGGUUUGGUCGUAAAUGAUACAAGUGGAGGAAGGGGACGAUCUAGCGAACGUGAUGCAGGUAAAGGAAGAUCCCGUUCGAAGUCAAAAUCGGAAAAGGUGAAGUGUUACUUCUGUAAGAAAGAGGAGCACGUGAAAAGAAACUGUGAGAAGAGGAAGGUUUUGCUGCGAAAAUUAGAUUCCUCUGCAGAUACGGCGAGCGUAGCUAGCGACA
rnacentral:lncRNA from 1 species